rnacentral:rRNA from 1 species
CCUACGGGUGGCAGCAGUGGGGAAUAUUGCGCAAUGGGCGAAAGCCUGACGCAGCGACGCCGCGUGAGGGAUGAAGGUCUUCGGAUCGGAAACCUCGGUCAGCAGGGAAGAACGGUCACGGGGCUAAUCAGCAGUGAAUUGACGGUACCUGCAAAGGAAGCACCGGCUAACUCCGUGCCAGCAGCCGCGGUAAUACGGAGGGUGCGAGCGUUAAGCGGAAUUACUGGGCGGAAAGCGCUCGUAGGCGGUAGGUCAAGUCAAGGGUGAAAUCCCCGCGCGCCACGUGGGAACUGCCUUUGAAACUGGCAAACUGGCGUGUGUUAGCGGCUAGUGGCAUUCCCGGUGUAGGUGU